rnacentral:rRNA from 1 species
AGCUCCAAUAGCGUAUAUUAAAGUUGUUGCAGUUAAAAAGCUCGUAGUUGGAUUUCUGGUAUAAUGCGCCUGGCCCGCCACGGUUACGUGUGUGAGUGCCGGUGCGCGUUUGCCAUCCUUCUAGUAAACGUUUCUACCCUUUACUGGGCGGAUUCGCGAACUAGAACUUUUACUUUGAAAAAAUUAGAGUGUUUAAAGCAGGCAAUUGCUGUGAAUACAUUAGCAUGGAAUAAUAAUCUAGGACUUCGGUUCUAUUUUGUUGGUUUCUAGCACUGAAGUAAUGAUUGAUAGGGAUAGUUGGGGGUGCUAGUAUUUAGAGGCCAGAGGUGAAAUUCUUGGAUUCUCUAAAGACUAACUUAUGCGAAAGCAUUCACCAAGGAUGUCUUCUUUAAUCAAGAAC